rnacentral:rRNA from 1 species
UACAGAGGGUGCGAGCGUUAAUCGGAAUUACUGGGCGUAAAGCGUGCGUAGACGGUCAAGUAAGUCGGGUGUGAAAGCCCCGGGCUCAACCUGGGAAUUGCAUUCGAGACUGCGUGGCUAGGGUGCGGAAGAGGGAAGCGGAAUUUCCGGUGUAGCGGUGAAAUGCGUAGAUAUCGGAAGGAACACCAGUGGCGAAAGCGGGACUUCCUGGUCCAGCACCGACGUUCAGGCACCGAA